rnacentral:rRNA from 1 species
UACGGAGGGUGCAAGCGUUAUCCGGAUUUACUGGGUUUAAAGGGUGCGUAGGCGGAUAGGUAAGUCAGGGGUGAAAUCUUCGAGCUUAACUCGGAAACUGCCUUUGAUACUAUCUAUCUUGAAUAUUGUGGAGGUAAGCGGAAUAUGUCAUGUAGCGGUGAAAUGCGUAGAUAUCUGGAGGAACACCGGUGGCGAAGGCGGCAUCCUGGACCGGCAUUGACGCUGAGGCGCGAAAGCUAGGGGAGCAAACGGG